GUAAAAGUUUUGCUUUAUCUCCUAAGCAUAGAAAAGCAGACAUUGCAUGCCAGGAUGGCUACUGAACUGCUGAAUAACAUAUUUCCCUAUCGGUUGUUUCCUUUGCAGGCUGCUUCUUUUUCGGGCUUCCGGACAACCACAGGAUGUAACUGUGGACUUGGCAACAUCUACAUUAAAGGCAAUUUUACUGCAAAAGCUUCUGAGUGGUCUGGACUCAUGGAUCUCAGCCAGUGCACAGACAGAGCAUUCACAGAGAAUGAAGACAACCAUAAAACACACUCAUCAUGAAGUUUCUUACACCUAUACUAAAAUGUAAUGUAAAUGGCUCUCAGACUGUGCUCCAUCUAUCAAGAAGCUAGUGAAGUUAGUCCCUUCCAAGCCUGCUGGCAACAGGUUUCUUGGCCUCAAGCAACUGUAUCACUUUGUUUUCUCCAUUUGUAAAAUAUUUGUGCUUUGGCCUGAAGAACAAUGAAAUGUCCUGAAUGCUUUGUUCAGCUAAGCAUUUCGAAGUAAGUGUGCUUAACUUUACACAUACACAUAUUUGCAAAGGCUUUUACAUAACAGGUUUUCUUGAAAAAGCACAAUUUUUUUUUUUCUGAGAUGAGCCUUGAAGAACAUCUGUAACUUUUGUUUUAAAGUGGAAUUGCUAAAAGCAUAUUGGAUGGAUCAUAAAAUAAUGGCUAUUUUCACUUGUAGCUUGGCUAUAAGUAACUUGUAACUGAUAGGGUGUAAUGUCUUUCUGAAGUAUAAAAGUUCCCCCUUAA